AGCGAACAAGUACCGUGAGGGAAAGAUGAAAAGAACUUUAAAAGAGAGUAAAAUAGUACGUGAAAAUUGUUGAAAGGGAAACGAUUGAAGUCAGUCGUCCGACGAGAAAUCAACCUUUCGAGCAUGAUCUUGUGGGUGCGUAAGAGUCUUUAUAAGCUUUGCGUUUACAAGUUUGUGUUUCUUUGGCGUAUUUUUUCGUAUGGUUGGUUAACAUCAUUUUGGUAAUCAUAAAAUGAUUGGAGGAAUGUAGCUUCGAUUUUUUCGUAGUGUUAUAGCUUCGGUAGAUAUGAUUAUUGAGAUUGAGGAUUGCAACGAAUACCUUCAGGGCUGUCCCCCUGGCCUCUCGUCGGCAUCCUGGCGGCGACAGCUUGCUGACGUUGUUAGGAUCGGCCUCGAACAGGCUAGAGUGUGAGCAAAUUCGUUAAGGAUGUUAACGUAAUGGCUUUAAACGA
rnacentral:rRNA from 1 species